GUUGCGGUUAUACUUCUGAUGAUCCCCCAGUUUGAUGAAAGCGGCUUAAAAGAUGGAUAGCGGAUAGGUUAUAGACGUGUAGGACAACUAGUACUAUGGGUCUUAUCUGGAGUACUUGCAGGACCGAUCAGGACGUGAACCAUGUAACCUGGGUAGAGGACCGGGAUUAGAUACCCCGUUACUCCUGGUGUCAAGCACAGUGAACUCUUUUUUGUGAUAUGCUUGCCGGGCAACUACGUCUUAAAGGGUAAAAGUCGAAGUAAUUGGCGGUCUAGAGAUUAACCAGCUCGCGAGACUUGACGGUUAAUCCGAUGAUCCGCGUAAAUUCUACUCUUUCUUGAAUUCCCAGUUGGUGUAUGGCCGUGUAGUGCUUCUUGAAAGGGAGUUGCGAGAUCCAUGCUCAUUGUUAGUAUACGUGGGCUUGUGGAGGAAGGCAGGUCGUCAUGCCGCCCAUGAAGGAGGCUUAGUUGAGUCACAUUGAAAUUAAAUCAAGCGGAACCGAGGAAGGAAGUAGCCCGGGGAAGAAGUAGUGGGUAGUAAGAAGAGAAUAAUUCGCUUUUUU
rnacentral:rRNA from 1 species